CCCCUGGGCCGAAGUUUUAUUCAGGAGUGCCAUCCGUCAGCCCAGAUCAUCACAGGGAGCCCUCCCCCAUCUCAAUAAAUGCAGCAUAACCUCGCUGGACACAGACCCUAAACAAAAAGUUUGGGGAUGUCAGCACGAUGUGGGAGGAGAGGGCAGAAGACAGAUUUUACGACAGUACAAUCAUGGGGUGUGGGUUUUAGGCAAUAAGCAGGUAGCCUAGUUUUCUCAAAAGAAAAAAGAAAAUAAUGGAAAAGUGUAACAUUCAUUCGGAGGCCUCAAAGGCAUAAAAAACCCAAUUCCAACUGUUAUAGGUCCCUGCAGGAGUCUACAAAAGAACUAAGCUUUUUAAGUAAGAAAACUAGAUUCUGGCCCACAGGGCCCUGUCACAGCUGCUUAAUGGAUGAAACUCUUUGGAUAUAAAUAUGCUGUUUACUUCUCAGCUUCAGCUUUCAUAAAAUAUAACCUUUUUAUGAUUUACGACCCACAGAAAAACUGGAGGAUGGAUUUUUAGCUCUGAAUUGGUUGGAUGUCAACAAGAAAAAUAUAGACAACAUAUCGAAGUAGCAGGGUGUUAAUGCCACACAAAAUGAUGAAAUUAUUUUUGUUUAGAAAAGUUAAGUUUGUUCUUAAAGUUGUUGGUGGAUGGCAGUUGUGAGAGGCAGGGCUCAUGAAAACCUGUGAAAUGUCUCCCGUUUUCAUGUGCUUGGCCAGUGGCUGAGAAGUUUGGGCAUAUUGACUUCAGUCCUCAAUCAGUAAUGUCUUGUUGAAAAGUUUAGGCCAGCCACAGAUUCUUGAAAAGCGGGAACGGUCCUUCUUUGUCUAAAUCAUUCAUUGCUACAUUUUGGUUAUGUUUUCCCCUAAAAGACGUAGAAGCCGCCCCUGAUCCUGCCACAGGAGAUGACAGAAGAAGACUUUUUUCCAGAAAGAUGAUUGCAAAAAUGAAAAGCAAAACAACAAAGAAGCAAACCAAAAAUCAAACAAAAGAUCCACCAAGAAGAACACCAAAGAUGCCCACCCACAUCCUUGGGUAGCCAUGCAUAACCUCUGUCCCUGGGAGAGACCUGUAGCCCUAGAAGGUAGAGCUGCCACAGCCAUGUGGUUUAGGGGGGAAAAAGAACAUCGGCCAGAAUUUUCAUGAGUGUCAGCACCUACCUGUAGAAUAUCUCAACUCUUGUGUUCUUUAGUCAACCAAGGUUCAGGAGGUAACUUCAAGAAGUCUCCUGGCUUUCUGUUUAUUUUUAGAGGAACAUGCUGUUUAUCUUUGGUUAGAAGUC
rnacentral:lncRNA from 1 species